CAGCCUGCUAACUAGCUA
rnacentral:siRNA from 1 species